rnacentral:rRNA from 1 species
GUAACAUUUCUAGCUUGCUAGAAGAUGACGAGUGGCGGACGGGUGAGUAAUGCUUGGGAACUUGCCUUUGCGAGGGGGAUAACAGUUGGAAACGACUGCUAAUACCGCAUAAUGUCUUCGGACCAAACGGGGCUUCGGCUCCGGCGCAAAGAGAGGCCCAAGUGAGAUUAGCUAGUUGGUAAGGUAACGGCUUACCAAGGCGACGAUCUCUAGCUGUUCUGAGAGGAAGAUCAGCCACACUGGGACUGAGACACGGCCCAGACUCCUACGGGAGGCAGCAGUGGGGAAUAUUGCACAAUGGGGGAAACCCUGAUGCAGCCAUGCCGCGUGUGUGAAGAAGGCCUUCGGGUUGUAAAGCACUUUCAGUUGUGAGGAAAAGUUAGUAGUUAAUACCUGCUAGCCGUGACGUUAACAACAGAAGAAGCACCGGCUAACUCCGUGCCAGCAGCCGCGGUAAUACGGAGGGUGCGAGCGUUAAUCGGAAUUACUGGGCGUAAAGCGCACGCAGGCGGUUUGUUAAGCUAGAUGUGAAAGCCCCGGGCUCAACCUGGGAUGGUCAUUUAGAACUGGCAGACUAGAGUCUUGGAGAGGGGAGUGGAAUUCCAGGUGUAGCGGUGAAAUGCGUAGAUAUCUGGAGGAACAUCAGUGGCGAAGGCGACUCCCUGGCCAAAGACUGACGCUCAUGUGCGAAAGUGUGGGUAGCGAACAGGAUUAGAUACCCUGGUAGUCCACACCGUAAACGCUGUCUACUAGCUGUGUGUGCCUUU